GACGAACGCUGGCGGCGUGCUUAACACAUGCAAGUCGAACGGAAAGGCCUGCUUUCCCUUGUGGAUUGCGGGUACUCGAGUGGCGAACGGGUGAGUAACACGUGAGUGAUCUGCCCCCAACUUGGGUAUAAGCCUGGGAAACUGGGUCUAAUUCCCGAUAGGACUGCAGGGUGGUGCCUGUGGUGGAAAACGAUUUUCUAGUGGUUGGGGAUGAGCUCGCGGCCUAUCAGCUUGUUGGUGGGGUAAUGGCCUACCAAGGCGGCGACGGGUAGCCGGCCUGAGAGGGUGGACGGCCACAUUGGGACUGAGAGACGGCCCAGACUCCUACGGGAGGCAGCAGUGGGGAAUAUUGCACAAUGGGCGGAAGCCUGAUGCAGCGACGCCGCGUGGGGGAUGACGGCCUUCGGGUUGUAAACUCCUUUCGACCGCGAGGAAGCCACCUGGUUGGAAGGGUGGUGAGGUUAGUGGUAGAAGAAGCACCGGCUAACUACGUG
rnacentral:rRNA from 1 species